AAGGAGAUUUGUUUUAAGCUGCUGCAUUUCACGUACAAGAGCUCCUUUUUCCUAACCGUUCUUGGCAGCCUGCUCCUGCUUUGAGAGAGUUUCCUCUGGGGAUGUGACUUAUGCUACACCGCCUCUUUGCACAUACAGGCACAGGUAACACUGAGGAUAGGAAGCUGUGUCUGUCUUGGUUCUUCAGGGAGAAGGGAAAGACAAAGACAGGCCCUGAAGCUGUCUCACAGGUACAAAAAACCAGCAGAGAAAAAGGCAUCUCUGCCUGAAUACAGCCUCCCCGUCCACUGAGAUAAAGACUAAUGUUUGGCCUGGUGGGAGGAAGAGGAGCAGCUGAGGUUCACUCCAACUACGGCAUCUUUCUCCCAGAACUGGGUGCAGCAGCAGCUCUCAGUGGAUCACUGAAUAUUGUACAAUAUGCACUCACAGCCUCACUGUGGUACACCUGCACAUGGCCUACAGCACUAACUCUCUCAUUGGUCAUUCUCUGGUGUAAUUGUAAUUAUAGACUGAUCAUGGAACAGGUGCUUAAGGAAUAAAAUACACAGUAAUGUAUAUGUUGUUUUUAUCCUCUUGCACCACUAAAAUGCACCAGUAUAAAAGAAGAGGAACAUGACAGUUUAAAUUGGUCAUUGAAUUGGCCUUAUGAAUCAAGGACUUGUUAUAGAUUGAAUUAUUUAAUUGUAAAUGAAAAAAAUAAGGCAUUAACAGACAUUAAUUAAAAAUACUAAACAAAACUUUCCAGGAAGUAUUUGCAAAAGUAUGAAAACAGUUUAUUUUUAGUCAAGACACUGUUUCAUAAAUGCCUUUGCUAUUGUGAGGUUUGAGUGACUGCAGGUUUGGCUAUUUAAUAAAGCAGAAUAUAAUGAUUCCCACAGUAGCUAUAUGUAUCAUGGUUUUGCAUAUACAAACACAAUUAUUAUUUUCUAUUAUUAGGGUGAGAGAUAAUAUUUUUAAAAAGUUAAAAAAAUAUUAACUGAAUUAUGGUCAACAAACCAGCUAAAUAGAGAACAUGACAAUUAUUAUCUUUGAAGGAGAGCAGACUAGCUAAUAUUGUAGCAUAUAUACUGGGGCUAUCACCUUUCUAAAAAAAGAAAGAAAAAACUUUUUUUUUGAAUGAAACUAACACAAAAUUUGUUUAAAUUAAUUCAAACACAACCCAAAAUUAACAUGCUGUUGAUUUGUGUUUACUUCAGUGACAAGGUAAUGUUAAUUUGAGGGAGUUUCGAAUCACUGUGUCAGCAAACAGCCCUACCUUUAUCCUUGACCUUUACAUCUACUGUGUCAAAUCCAAAAUGCCUCCUCACAAUACUUCUCAGAUGGUUUGGUAUCAUUAUUAUCCGUUCAGCACUAGUUUUCUCCAUUUUACGUUAGCAUAGAAAACUGUAAUUUACUGCUAGGCUAACUAGCUUCCUUAUUCUUGAGCUUUUUACUGAGCUUCAACUGCAUGUUGUCACUCGGUUGAUGAUUCUAGGAGCCUACAGGACUCACAAAAACCUAAUAUGAUGAACUAAUUACGGGGACGCAGCUACAUUUUCCAGGGGACUCAAAACUCCUGGCUAUGCCCCUGCUUUGACAGAAGAACACUGGUUAUCUGCUUGUUUGAGGUUUACACAAUCAGAUCAUUUCUGCCUCUGAAAAAUGUUUUUAAAACACAUUUCCUCAAUAGACACACCACAAUAUUUGGCUGUUAAGCGGAAACUAUUGUUGGCGGCUCACUUCAGUGCCCUUGUUUGAUAUGAACCUCCAUAGACUUCAGUGUGACCUCUAAGGGAUCCUUCAGCCUUUGCUUUUUCCCACAUAUGUGUUACUCAACAAUUCCUCGUAGUAAAUGGUUUGUGUUGUCAAUUUAAGGAGAUAAAUCUGCCCCGCCAACGACAGUGUCCUGGUUUAUUCCCAUUUCCGGUCUCCCACUAAGAAUCUUACUGACAGAAUAUAUGGCGUCAGCAUGCUCCAAAUCUUUGAGCCUUUUAGCCUCUUCUGUAAUGCUUACACAGGGAAAUUGAACAAGUGGACAGACUGUUCCACUCCUCAAUAUGAUACACUAUAGAGCAGAAAUUUCAUUCUCUUAAGCUUUAAACUUAUACCAUCCACAGGGUGCUUGUUGUCGAAAGAAGUAGAAAGCAGUUUGUUUCAUGUCCUUUGGCAAACACUAAAUAUAUUAUAGCAUUUGUGGUUAAUAAAAAAGUAAAAACACUAUGCAGAAAAGGUGAUAUUGUGAAAAUUACACCAUUGUGAAAAUCAUUACUAUUUAACCAAAGAUUAGCGGUAAUGUUUUCAUAAUUAUGCCUCUUGCAAAUUAUGGCUGUUCUACUCACUAAUUGCUCUUUCCUUUCAUUUUAUUCAUCUAGAAUUAAAUUAAGUAAACAUGGCCCAGAGAGGAUAAUAGUGACCCAAAUUCUACCAUGCCAACUUCAAAUACAUAACCUAUACCUAUACAUAUGACUGACUUUAAAUAGUGUUUCUGCUAUAGUUAGAAUUCCUUUCAAAGUCACUUAGCUCAGGAUGUGCGCUCCUCACAGCAUGCCAGUGCAGAAAGGAAAUCAAAGUAACAGACAAAAAGUUGUUUGAGUGUAUUAUAUAAGUUUGGGGUGACUCUGUAAUGAGUUUUUAGGGGCAGCAAAACAGUGUCAUCAUUCACAUAAUAUCAUAAUUAGCCCAUUCUGAAUCCAGGGGGCUCUUGGUCAGAUGAUGAUGGUGAUGUUGGAUCUUCCCCCUUGUUUCAUGUUGGCUAAUAUCCAGCAAUUUGCCACCUCACUCCUCUCUGUCUCCUUUUUCUGUCUUUCUGGGGAGUCUUUGAUGCUGUGUCAAAUGUCUCCCUCUUCAAAGUCUUCAAGGAUAUGGACCACAGUACCAAAUUGGUCGCAUACAGACACUGCUGGCCUUGUUAUGAACCUGCCAAAUACGGAGGACGUUGAUGGAGGAGUAUGCUGAUGCAAGGUUGUGUGUUUUAUCAGCUCUCAAAACAACCUGCCCGUGGCUCGAUCUUCAAUCUGACGGGAUGCAGGAAGAAAGAAAAGUUUUGCCUGACUGCACUUUGUGAAUGCACAUUCAAACAGCAUCUCUCAAAGUUCAAAAACAGAGUCGGAUGAGGUAGACUUUAUCAUACUGUGUGAGACAUUUAAUCUUUUCACAGGGCUAGCGCUUCUCUUUCCUUCCAUUGAUUUUGACCAUCAUAAGCUAUAGUGUAGAUAAUGAUCAGAGUCUAAUCAGCUGCAUUAUCAGUAUGCCCUUCCCUAUCGGUGCUGCCAACACCUAAGGCUGUCCAGUCAAAUGUUGCUCUGGUACAAUGAAUGGAAGACAAACAACCUUGCUAUGAUGUGCCAGACACUUGUGAAUAAAUGUCCUUUCCUGUCUAGUUUGGGUGUAUCUUAGCAUUUUUUUUCUUCAUUCCUUUUUGUACAAAUUUAAAUAGAUGGACAUUAUAAUAAAAGAUCAGCUGUAGUCAUUAACCUUUAAAUGUAACUGAAUACAAUUCUGACUUUUUAGGCCAUGCUUGCAGCAUGUCUCUAGGGAGGGCCAUGUCUGUCAAAGGGUCCAUCACAGACUGAAAUAUCUCAACAACUGUUGAAUGGAUUUCCAUUAAAUU